GCGUCAGUAGCUCAAUUGGAUAGAGCGUUGGUCUACGGAACCAAAGGUUGAGGGUUCGAAUCCUUCCUGACGUA
rnacentral:tRNA from 1 species